rnacentral:rRNA from 1 species
UACGUAGGGUGCUAACGUUGUUCGGAAUCACUGGGCAUAAAGAGCGCGUAGGCGGUUUGUCACGUCUGCUGUGAAAUCCCGAGGCUCAACCUCGGGCCUGCAGUGGGUACGGGCAGACUGGAGUGCGGUAGGGGAGAAUGGAAUUCCUGGUGUAGCGGUGGAAUGCGCAGAUAUCAGGAGGAACACCGAUGGCGAAGGCAGUUCUCUGGGCCGUAACUGACGCUGAGGAGCGAAAGCGUGGGGAGCGAACAGG